UUUUUUUUUUUUUUUUUUUUUUUUUGAUAAAAGCAGCCUAAACUUGGUGGGUGCUGCUUUUGUGAUUUGCCUCAUGUCCAAUUUGGGAAUAUGUCCCUUCAUCAAAUGCAUGCCUUCAUGCAGUUGGAGAAAGGGGCACUUUUCUCCACCUCUGCCACUCAGGAGAGGUUAUCAUUUUAGGGAAGCCAGUUGAGUGGUCCAGGAGCUUUGGUUACCCUAUGAAGGGAUUAAGCAUCAUAGCUUUUCAACUGUCUUUGCAUUCCAGUUUCCACGCAUCUAGGCUAAAUCCUCAAAUACCUUCUCACACACCCAUAUACCCACACAUGUACUGCUAGGGAGUCAGGGCUCUGCUUUAACCCUGUGUUUCUAAUCUACCGUACGGUUUCCUGUCCAGGUGACCAAGUUGUCUAACUUCCUCCCUCUCCUGGGCAAUGGCUGAAGUCAAGUCUUGUCUAAUCCGCCCUGACGUAGUCCGGGGGCCCUGGGAAGCAUCUAAGAGUUAAAACAGUCUGCUUCUGAGAAGGUCAAGGCUGCGGCUGUGUGCUUUUCUAUCGUUACAUUUACAGGGCUGGGGCUUGCCUACUCCCUGUUAAAAGCCCCAGGAUAGAUGCCAGCAUGACCCACAUCUCUUCCCACAGUGCUGCCAGAAUCCAAGCAGUGGCUGCUUAGGCACCAUUCUGGUCUCUUCUUUUCCAUCCAUGAAUUCAAGAAAAUCCCUAAUCCUGGAGAGAAUAUGGGCCUUCCAACUCCACCCUUAGAAAAUGAGUUUGUUUGUUGUUGCUGCUGUUAGCUAUUAAUAGAAGUGACCAUGUGACCUUUGGUUUGGCAUGAUCAGUUUUUGUCUACAAAGGAAGGGUCCAAGACAACAUUCACCCCUCUCAUCACUCUAGAAUUCCCAACAGGGAAUUUUUGGGGUUCACUGCAGAGGAAACACAGACAUUUUCCAACUGGAGGCCUUUCCUCCCCCUGAACAUGACUGAGACGGGUUCACUCUGUUCCUUGAGGGAAGUGUUCUGUGGGUGGGUUCUGGCUGCGGGUGUCCAGCCUCACCUUGAGCUGUGUGAGUUGCAGACCCUGGGACUGUGCUCUGCCUUUUUCCACCUGACCUACACCAGGUUUACUUGGGGCCCUCGGCAGAUAGAACUGCGGCUGAGUCACUGUGGCUGACUUGGGAAUCUCCAGACUGUAGAGGGUUGGCUGCUAGUGUGUGAGGCUGGAUAUGCCCUUCAGAGCACUCAGUCCUGGCAGGGUAUCCUCCCCCGUGUCUCCAAAGUCCUUCUUGAUUUCUGACACAAAGGCAGCUUUGAUUACACAGAGGCAGAAGAGACAGAAGGUCAGCCAGCUGCACCAGAUCCAGGGGCAAGGUAGGGCUGCCAAGUCAAGCUGGACCUGAGGAGACCAGGCACAUCCAAGAUGCCAAGGGUCAGGCUGCGCAGUUUCCUCAGGGAGUUUGGACCUUUUCUCAACACAGUCUUGAUUUAUCAAGUCGCAGGCUGAUGGAAACAGAAGAGUCUUGAAUCUUGAAAGAGCCUCCUUAAAAAUACUCCAAACCAAGGAUUUCUGAGGCCAUCCAGACACUACCUAGUGCCCACAAGACAUCUGUAGCACGCUGGGCUGAGCACCGCCAUUUUUGUUCAUUCUAUUUAACAAGCAGAGCAGGAGCAAGGGAUUGGGAAGCUGUAAAUAAUAAAUAUAUUUAUGCCGCUAUUUAUUUUUUCAAUAACUGUGACCUCCUGCACUGUGAAUGCUCUGUGAUAUGAGAUUCUUAGUUUAAUAAAACUGUCAUUAAAUUUGAAUGAAUUGAUAUUAUUGGUUCCCAAACACUGGCAUGAUUUAACUUCUAUUAUGCAGAAAAGCAUUCUAGAGUAAUAUAUGAAACUAAACCUUUAUAAGAAACCUAGCAGUCGGUGUUGUGACGCAAUAUAUCAAAACCAUGUACACUGCCAAUACAGUAAACAAACACAAGUCACCCUCCUGAUAGACCUUCCACCCACAUUUCCAUAGAUACAGAUGUGAAUUUUUUGGAAAGAAUUAUGUUGGUAUAACAGCCAUUGGAAACCAUUUCUAUUUGCCUAUUGAGACACAAAUAAACUUCAGAAAC
rnacentral:lncRNA from 1 species